CAUCCAGACUCCUACGGGAGGCAGCAGUGGGGAAUAUUGCACAAUGGGGGAAACCCUGAUGCAGCGACGCCGCGUGAGUGAAGAAGUAAUUCGUUCUGUAAAGCUCUAUCAGCAGGGAAGAAAAUGACGGUACCUGAGUAAGAAGCCCCGGCUAACUACGUGCCAGCAGCCGCGGUAAUACGUAGGGGGCAAGCGUUAUCCGGAUUCACUGGGUGUAAAGGGAGCGUAGACGGCGACGCAAGUCUGGAGUGAAAGCCCGGGGCCCAACCCCGGGACUGCUCUGGAAACUGCGUCGCUGGAGUACGGGAGGGGCAGGCGGAAUUCCUGGUGUAGCGGUGAAAUGCGUAGAUAUCAGGAGGAACACCGGCGGCGAAGGCGGCCUGCUGGACCGUGACUGACGUUGAGGCUCGAGAGCGUGGGGAGCAAACAGGAUUAGAUACCCGGGUAAAA
rnacentral:rRNA from 1 species